rnacentral:tRNA from 1 species
UAUGCUUUAGUAUUUAAUGUAUUAAAAAUUUUGAAUUUUUGGGUAGUAGGAUUUUACUAGGUAUAA